rnacentral:rRNA from 1 species
UACGAAGGGGGCUAGCGUUGCUCGGAAUGACUGGGCGUAAAGGGCGCGUAGGCGGAUGGUACAGUCAGAUGUGAAAUUCCCGGGCUUAACCUGGGGGCUGCAUUUGAUACGUGUUGUCUAGAGUGAGGAAGAGGGUCGUGGAAUUCCCAGUGUAGAGGUGAAAUUCGUAGAUAUUCGGAAGAACACCAGUGGCGAAGGCGACUCGCUGGACAAGUAUUGACGCUGAGGUGCGAAAGCGUGGGGAGCAAACAGGG